AUCUCACAUUAGACGAAGCUGAGUGAUUUUUUUACGCUUCAAUCAUCUUUUCUCCGAGCUUCAGAAACCACAUUACAGUUUGUAGAUCAAAGAGAGAACAGAGGCGUGGACAGUUUUAAGAGUAGUAGGGGGUUUGCACACCGUGUUAACCACAUUUGCUACAAAUGGCUGUGGUACAAUAAGUAGAAGAUGCAUAUUUAGAUGUGAUAUAAAUUG